UUAAAUGUACAUAUAAGGAACAGCUGGAGGAGGACCAAUGAUUAGGAAUAGGAAUGUUGUCCCAUUCGUGUCUAAUAUAGACUUCUAGUUGCUCAACUGUCUUAGGUCUUCUUUGUCGCAUCUUCCUCUUUAUGAUGCACCAAAUGUUUUCUAUGGGUGAAAGAUCUGGACUGCAGGCUGGCCGUUUCAGUAUCCGGAUCCUUCUUCUACGCAGUCUUGAUGUUGUAAUUGAUGCAGUAUGUGGUCUGGCAUUGUCAUGUUGGAAAAUGCAAGGUCUUCCCUGAAAGAGCCGACGUCUGAAUGGGAUCAUAUGGAUCAAGAACUUGGAUAAACCUUUCAGCAUUGAUGAUGCCUUUCCAGAUGUGUAAGCUGCCCAUGCCACACGCACUCAUGCAACCCCAAACCAUCAGUGAUGCAGGCUUCUGAACUGAGCGCUAAUAAUAACUUGGGUUGUCAUUGUCCUCUUUAGUCCGGAUGAAAUGGCAUCCCAGUUUUUCAAAAAGAACUUCAAAUUUUGAUUUGUUGGACCACAGAACAGUUUUCCACUUUGCCAAAGUCCAUUUUAAAUGAGCCUUGCCCAGGGAAAACACCUGUGCUUCUGGAUCAUGUUUAGAUAUGGCUUAUUUUUAGACCUAUAGAGUUUUAGCUGGCAACAGCGAAUGACACGGUGGAUUGUGUUGACUGACAAUGUUUUCUGGAAGUAUUCCUGAGCCCAUGUUAUGAUUUCCAUUACAGUAGCAUUUCUGUAUGUGAUGCAGUGCUGUCUUAGGGCCCGAAGAUCACGGGCAUCCAGUAUGGUUUUCCGGUCUUGACCCUUACGCACAGAGAUUGUUCCAGAUUCUCUGAAUCUUUGAAUGGUAUUAUGCACUGUAGAUGAUGAUAACUUCAAUCUCAUUGCAAUUUUUCUCUGAGAAACUCAGAAAACUAUUUUUCGCCGCAGCAUAGGCUCUGUGCACGCAACUAAGGAGUUCUACUUCCGCCGCCUUGAGUGUAGGGCCGACCGUUUCCGGUCUUAAGAUAUGAAGUAAAGAUGAUAUGAAUCAUGGCGCUGUUUUACACCCAAUUUCUGCAAGAUCUACCAAAGUUAACAAUUACCGACGAUCACCGGCUAGUACAAGCGGCAUGCUCAGCCCCGAGGAGCAAAAAGGAAAAGGAUUAUUAAGUUACAUCGACAACUAUUAAGAUUGUCUUUGAAGAUUGCUCACCAGUUGACAUUUCAGUGGCAGACUGUUCCUGUGUGGCUGGAAGAGCACCCGACUGAGAGCCCACCCUGCCGGAAAAGAAAAAAUGUCCCAACGCAAAGAGUCAUGUAGACUGUAGCUCCUUGAAAAUGCCUGUGUAACGAUGAAAUUAAGCAGACUCACAGCUACUACUGGCAGGUGCAAGGCCAGCCAUCACUUGCAGUGAUGCAGUGAUGUGAUUUUGGUGUUUUUGCAGAGGAGGAUUUUUUUAUACAACACAUUUACUGAGAGACUGUAAGGUGGCUAUAAUAACCAUAAGGGAGAUUAUUUACAUGGAUGUUUGAAUCACUUAUGGCAUGUAAUUUGAUUAAUAUGCACUACAUUUUUCCUCUUUAAUAAAUAUAUUACUUUUAUGUG